CUCGUGUCUACAGGGCUAAAUAGAAAAUGAAAUAUUUUAAAAUGAACAGGCAUCUGAUCAUUUUACUCAUUGCCGUCGUGGCUUGUACAGCCGCUAACGGAGGAUUGAGAGACUUACAGGAACAACAGUCCUCAAAUUUAGACACCCGUAUGAAGCAGGCUUGGCAAAGAGUGGUCAAUUUUUUCUGUGGAUUGGUACGCGGGCGAAAGGGUAAUCAUACUUUUGUAUAUCAAUGAUCUGUUUUAUAUUAAGAUCGAAUACUAUCACUUAUGUGGAUUGUACUAUAGUAGCUGUUGGAUAAAUUUAAACGGCAAUAAUUUCUGGUAAAAAAACGGAUGUUAUAACGUCUUUUUCCUUACAAUAAUAUUUAGGUAUGUUCCUACGCUCAUCAAAAGAACAAUUUAAUUUUAGGCAUGUCCCAUUAUAGAGUUCUACGGUUUUUGAGAUUGUUGCACAUCGGAAAAUAUUUUUUCAGAUCUAAAUCAAGAAUAUUUGUUUUUUCAAAUAAGCCAACAUUUUGGGCUCUUUACAGGUGCAAUGGUCCCAAAAAUCCCAAAGAUCCCUAAAAUUAGUUUAUUUUGCAACAUGUCCCACUUAAUAAAAACGUAUAAUUUUUACGAAUCUGGCAAUUCCCGGCUGUGAAUGUUCAUGUAUUAAAAGGAUACCUGAAGAGCAACGUGUAUUUUUGCGACUCCCUUCUUUUAAUUAGAUUAUACUAUACUCUCGAUACU